AACCCGGUGGCGGGACAGGCCUGGCCGGCCUCUGCAGAGACGUCCAACCUCGUGCGCAUGCGCAGCCAGGCCCUGGGCCAGUCGGCGCCCUCGCUCACCGCCAGCCUGCUUUCUCUUUUCCUUGUCUUCAAACAAAUUGACAUUUGCGGAGGUGCGUUGUGCAGUAGAACAUUCCUCAUGCUGAUGAUCCUCUCCUCCUGGCCUCUCUGUCUACCCCUUGCCCCUGUCGUAGAGCUGUAAGCCAUCCUUCCCCCGACUCCGCCUGACAUGUAUCAUGGCACACCUUCGUUUUUGUUCUUUGUGUUUAUGUCGAAUACCUCCCUGCUAGACUGCAAGCCCCUUGAGGGCAGAAUUCUUGUCUGAUUUUUACUUUCUACUUUUCACUGCUCUCAGGACAAUGCCUUGCACAUAGAAAGCAUUCAGUAAAUAAUGUUGAAGGAAUAAAUAAUUAUUUAUGGAAAA
rnacentral:lncRNA from 10 species